rnacentral:rRNA from 1 species
CCUACGGGAGGCAGCAGUGAGGAAUAUUGGUCAAUGGCCGGAAGGCUGAACCAGCCAUGCCGCGUGAAGGUCAGUGCCCUAUGGGCGUUAAACUUCUUUUGUGCGGGAGCAAUAAUGGUCACGUGUGGCCAGACGAGAGUACCGUACGAAUAAGCAUCGGCUAACUCCGUUCCAGCAGCCGCGGUAAUACGGGGGAUGCAAGCGUUAUCCGGAUUUAUUGGGUUUAAAGGGUGCGUAGGCUGGGAGGAAAGUCAGCGGGGAAAUGCCCCCGCUCAACGGGGUGAAGGGCCAUUGAUACUGCUGAGCUGGAGAGCGGAUGCGGUAGGAGGAAUGUGUGGUGUAGCGGUGAAAUGCAUAGAUAUCACACAGAACACCGAUUGCGAAGGCAUCUCACGAAUCCGCGAUUGACGUUGAUGCACGAAAGCGUGGGUAUCAAACAGGAUUAGAUACCCCAGUAGUC